CCGCGCUCGCUCGCCGCCCUGUAACUUCUGUUCUGGGAAGUGGUGCCAGGAAUAACCCAGCCUGUCUGCAGAUCAGAGAGGCUCCCUCCCUCCUCGGCCAGAAAAAAACUGCGGCUCCCCGGGCCUCUGCCUCUCCCGUGUAAAAACUGAGCCUCACCAUUAUUGCUGUUAUUAUUAUUUUUUUUUCUGCAAAAAGAGGGAGAGGAAUGAUCUACCUUAAGAUAAAUACGUGAAACAGACGCCCCUUGGCUGCUGGAAUAUCUCUGUCUGUCUUUAUAUAAAGAAAUACCGCGAGCCGCCUCGCUCCAGGCAAGCCCUAAGCAAAGGAGCAACAAGAGCACCCAGCGGGAUCAACAACAACAACAACAAGGGCACCGAGAGGGCUUUCCUCCUUCCUCCUCGGUGACUUUCCAGGUGAGACCCUCUCCUAGUAUGUGAUCUACAGCAGGCUACACUGAAUCAUACGAUGACAAUGUUAUCGCUGCCACAUCUCUGGGAACCCGUUCAUAAUUAUACGGUGGAAGAGAGUGUGAACAGCCACAUUCACUGGAGUAGUGAACCAAAUUGCCUUGACUGGAACCAUUAUUCACUUGCACCUUUGACAUCAGCAGCCAGGUAGGGGAAGAAAAGAAAGUGUUUUGAAUGAACUGAGGUAGCAGGCCUCGGUGAAUUUUGUUUCAUUCUCAGAAGGCUUCAAGUGGAACUCACUCACAUUUAUAUACUAACUAAUUGUAAAUACUAGCUACUUUUGUUGCAAGUGAACUCAUCUCUUGCUGAAGUAGGUUCUUCUCUUUUUGGACAGGUUAUGCUUUUGUGGAUUUGGAAGUGCUGUCUUUGCUUGGCACACAUAUUUGGAUGGCCUCUUUCCUGUCCCUGUAUGAUUCUUGCAUGAAGCAUCCAGGGAGCAUGCUUUUUGCAACAAAUAAGUAGACAAAUGUGCUUAUAAGAAACAGAAAAAAAAGUGGUGGGUGAGGUUUUGUUAUCUGGAAACAGUUUUGUUCAAUUUGUCUUGCCAUGUCAAAUGUACUGCUGAUGGUAUUUGUUGAAGAUCAAGGUGUAUUUUUUCCUGUGGCUCUUGAAUACUUGGGAACAUAUGAACUGCAGUUCCAAAAGUAAUGACGCUGUAGUAUAGUGUCUCGGUACCUAAGCUAGUUUAAAAUUAGUGAACACCCAGUAGCAGUUUAGCUCUGCUAACUGGCAUCUGAGGGCCACUUUAUCUUGUCAAGAAGAGGUCUGUUUGCAUCUUCUCAUUGCAGCUCUGUAUUUAUUUGGAAUGGUAGUCACAGGUUGGACAGGCUUCACGUUGAGUUUGUCUGAAAAACUGCCUGCAUGCAGUACAGACAGAGUCACUUUUGUUGCUCUAAGAGACCUGAGAUGCUGAGAAGCUGCAAUUCUGUAAUCUUCUCAAUACUGGCAUCCUUCAUGUCCAGAGGAUUAUGUCAGCCCUCAGAAUUUCGUUAAAUUGUCUUAAAAUAGUGAAAAGUUGAGAAAAUAUUGGAUCCUUCCCACUGGCCUGCUGUGUUUGAGUAUCUCAAUAUUUAUCUGCAACCAUCAGGGCUAAGCACAUAAGGAAGAAACCAGAGACUCAUAUGUAAUAGCAUGACCCUAGGGGAAGAUGU
rnacentral:lncRNA from 1 species